AAACUUUCAACAAUGGAUCUCUUGGCUCUGGCAUCGAUGAAGAACGCAGCGAAAUGCGAUAAGUAAUGCGAAUUGCAGAAUUCAGUGAAUCAUCGAAUCUUUGAACGCACAUUGCGCCCGCCAGCACUCUGGCGGGCAUGCCUGUCCGAGCGUCAUUU
rnacentral:rRNA from 1 species